rnacentral:rRNA from 1 species
GCUCAGAACGAACGCUGGCGGCGUGCUUAACACAUGCAAGUCGCGUGCGCAGUUGCCGUAGCAAUACGGUGAUGGGCGCACGGCGCACGGGUGCGUAACACGUGGGCAAUCUGCCAUUUGAUGGGGAAUAACCAGCCGAACGGCGGGCUAAUUCCGCAUAAGAUUCCAGGAACUUCGGUUCUGGGAUUGAACGCAGCAAUGCGUCGAAGGAGGAGUCCGCGCCAGAUUAGCUAGUUGGUGAGGUAACGGCUCACCAAGGCUAUGAUCGGUAGCUGGUCUGAGAGGAUGAUCAGGGACCCUGGAACUGAGACACGGUCCAGACUCCUACGGGAGGCAGCAGUGGGGAAUCUUGCACAAUGGGCGAACGCCUGAUGCAGCGACGCCGCGUGGGGGAUGAAGCAUUUCGGUGUGUAACCACCUUUCGACUGGGAAGAAUACCUCGCAAGAGGGGUGACGGUACCAGUAGAAGAAGCCACGGCUAACUACGUGCCAGCAGCCGCGGUAAGACGUAGGGGGCCAGCGUUGUUCGGAAUUACUGGGUGUAACGGGUUCGUAGGCGGUGCGGCAAGUUGGGAGUGAACUCUCUGGGCUUAACCAAGAGGCUGCUUCCAACACUGCUGUGCUCGAGUGUGAGAGAGGCGCGUGGAAUUGCAGGUGUAGCGGUGAACUGCGUAGAUAUCUGCAGGAACACCAGUGGCGAACGCGGCGCGCUGGAUCACUACUGACGCUGAGGAACGAACGCUAGGGGAGUAACCAGGAUUAGAUACCAUGGUAGUCCUAGCCAUAACCGAUCAGGACUUGGGGUGC